GGGUGAUUUCCUGUCCACCGUCGCUCGCGGGCCGGUGUGGUGACCUCUAAGGGGCCCCUCACCCACCCCCAGGUACAGUCACUGCGGCCCGAGGAGCUCAAGUGAUUUUCCCAAAGCCACUGAUCACUCUAUUCAGUCACCAUGCUGGGGACCGUCCUAAUAAUACUAAUGCCGAUAACGCCCCAGCCACUGGGCACCUGGACCAGGUGAUUUACACGUUUAAUCCAGACGACAGUGUGAGGUCCUCACUUACCCACAGCCCUGGAGUCACUAUUCCAGCUCCUUCUCUCCCCGUCUCUCUUCUGUCUCCUCCCCACCACCACCAGAGAAUUCCUCAGUGCAGGUGUCCCCGAAACAGAGCACCGAAGACCACCCAGGGAACAGCAGUGCCUCCUCCGAAGCCCCAGGCAGCUGCUACACAAGGCCCGAGAGGCAGUUGGCCAUCACGUAUGACCAGUCCGAGGAGGAGCUGAUGGCCAGCAUCGAGCAGGAGUUCUGCAGCUGAGCCGGGCAGGGCAGCAGCCGCGAGUUACCCCGCAGCCAACGCGCCGCUCCUCCCAGACCCCGCCCCACCUGAUGUGGGGCUCUUAGGAACCUGGGCUGGGGGCGCACAUCCCCCUGCCCCGCCCGCGGCUCACUGGAGCUGAGCCAUCUCCAACAUGCAGUUCCUCCCGGAUCUUUCACUACUGGCCUUUUCAAAUCCAGAUUCAGACGGUCCUGCAUGUGACUGGCUACUGGCCAUCACACUUGCUGGCAAGAGGUGGUCAGCUGUGCAGACCCAGGCCAGAAGGAAGGUGCAGGUGCCGCCCCACAGGUACGUGGGCAGCUGAUCUACCAGAUCCCUGCCCCCCGCCCUGGUCUCUGCAGAGGGCCUGUCUACAAGGUUCUCCUGGAUCUUGAAAUGCUUCCCCUUUCUGACGACCCACUCACCACUGGAUCCGAAGAAGGCUCAUUAGCUGAGUGUGGCUCAGACAGGAUGCCCUAGGGCCUCUCACCCACGUCCUGCAGCAUCUCAGGAAGCUUCCCCUCUGGAGGGCACACCCAGGAGGUCUGCUCUCCCCAGCUGUAGGGGGUCAACCCCGGUUCUGCAAAUGAAUUACCAGGAGAUGUUGUUGAAGUGCAGAUUCUGAUUCUGUGGGUCUGGGGCGGGGGCCAGAGAGCCUGCAUUUCUAAGCAGCUCCCAGGUGAGACCCCGGCUGCUGGAUCCCAGUCUGAGCUUUAAGCCUGGCUGACUCUUCCUUCCCCGACGCUGGAGGCUGCUCAGAGCCACAGCCCACCUACCUCCCCUGAGAGAGGCCCUGCCCCUGCAGUGGGUAUGGUGGCAUGGGAGCCGGAGACCCCAGUUCUGAUCCUCCCUGUCGCACUAACUCGCAGGCACUCUCCUCUCUGGGCCUCAGUUUCCUUCUCUAGAAGGUGAGUCCUGCAGGCUCUUCAGGCGCUCCCAUCUCUGGUCAUCCAGGAUGACACAAUCCCAGGCUUCCCUGGUCUCUGCUGUUCGCCCCACCCCCACCCCGGGGCACAGGACUGCCUUCCCUGCUGAGGGUGAGCAGCAGCCCCACUGGGAAAGGGUCUUCAGGGCCACCUGCUCUUCCCACCGGGAGAAGGUAGCAAAUCACAGCGUGAGGCAGGAGAGCCUUAAGACAUUCUGAGCUGACAAAUGAGAAAGCCGGCUAGCCAUCCAGUCACGUGAGUCAUGCAGGGCCCGAAGGAGAACCGCAGCCUGACUGGAAGGCAGGCUUGUGCCCUGGGCCCAGAGUGGCUGCUCUGGGAAAGCUCAGGGGGGCGAGCAGUCAGAGCAUUUGGGAGGCCAGGUCCGCGGAGCAGCUGGUGAGGACGUCGGUACAUGGGGGCAUGGAGGGGACAGUCGCUUCCCCCCAGCCAGAAUAGGUCUCAGCUCGUCUUGUGUUUGCCACCAACAUAUUGGCCUCCCCGGCAUCACCUGCAAAUCCAAGAGCAUCUCAGAGACCGAGAACCAGCCACUUGGUACUGCUCCCAGACCCACAGGGCUGUGGCCGAAAUGGCCACAUCAUGGCUGUUUUCACGAACCUCUAUGACUUGACAAGACUGCCUUUGAUCAGAACCACUGCUGGGAGGUUUUAACUUCAGAGUCAGAGCACCUUCCAUAUCUGAGGGUUCGCUCAGAACCUCCCCAAAGAGAGCUAUUUCUCAUCUAAGCCCAAACCAUUUCUUUUGAUAUAAAGAUUAAAGCCAUUACUAUUUUAAUAAUACAAUACUUCUUUUAAAAGAAGUUAAAAUUUUCUUACCAUUAAGUCAGGCCUUGAAUUUAAUGAUGUAAAAUGUUUAUAAUUUUACAUCAUUAAUUUACAGUUACAAUUUUCCAUCACCAAUUUGGUAAAAUGGAACAUGUUCAGUGAGAAAGACGAUACCUUGCACUUUCCAGUGGCAACCUCAUAAAACCCGUAAUGAGAUAAAAGUGUUAAGAAAUUCUUUAUGUCCUUACAGUCUAUGUCAUGUCAAGGUGAAUGCACUUCAUCAAAGCUAAGAAGUCACA